UACGGGGGGGGCAAGCGUUGUUCGGAAUUACUGGGCGUAAAGGGCUCGUAGGUGGCCAACUAAGUCAUACGUGAAAUCCCUCAGCUUAACUGGGGAACUGCGCCUGAUACUGGUUGGCUUGAGUUUGGGAGAGGGACGCGGAAUUCCAGGUGUAGCGGUGAAAUGCGUAGAUAUCUGGAGGAACACCGGCGGCGAAGGCGGCGUCCUGGACCAAUACUGACACUGAGGAGCGAAAGCGUGGGGAGCAAACAGG
rnacentral:rRNA from 1 species